AAACAAAAGCAGGUCACGUAGAAGAUCAUCUUAGUAACACCUUCUACUUUCCUUACUGAUGUGGUAUGAUUAUUGGAAGUGAAAACCUGUCCCUGUACCCUACAUUAUUGCUACCACCUGGCACAACUACCCACGCAUCCUGGGAGGCUGCUGAUUUUGAAGCUAAGGAAGAUUAGCCCUGAGCUAACAUCUGCUACCAAUCCUCCUCUUUUUGCUGAGGAAGGCUGGCCCUGAGCUAACAUCUAUGCCCAUCUUCCUCUACUUUAUAUGUGGGAUGCCUACCACAGCAUGGCUUGCCAAGCGGUGCCAUGUCCGCACCCGGGAUCCGAACUGGCAAACCCAGGGCUGCCGCCGAAGCAGAACGCGCACACUUAACCACUGCGCCACCAGGCAGGCCCCUCCGCAGUGAUUUAUAAUGAACAAUUUUUUGUUUCUCUGGCUGUUUAGGAACUUUUGAACAUUUUCGCUAUUUUGGAGAAUUUCCACAUUUAUAAUUUGAGCUUCUUCAAGGUAGAGCCCGCAAAUCUUGAUUCCCUCAUCUUUCGUGCUCAGGCUCAACCGAUGAGAUCAGAGAUCACUAAUACAAGCCCUCACUUCGGAACUGAGCCCCGUGAAGAAGGAGGGUCUGCACUGAAUCUGUUUUGCUGUGAUGGUGGUGGCAGAUGCAGUGGCUUUCUGAGCAGAAGUGGUUACAAAGGUGCAUCCUGGCUCUGCAAUGAUUCCAGUGGGGUGGCAGUAAAUUGGAGUUCCUGGCAGGAGGGUGUGGAGAGUGGGAGUAGCAGCUGUUUAGUCAGCAAGCCAGUUCCAUGGCAUGUUUUGGGGUGAUGUUCCUGAAAGCUGAGUCUUGAGCCUGGUUUAUUCAGGCACCUUAGCAUUCCAUGAGUUACCCAUUUUUUAAAAGAAUAAAUGCCUUGCCUUAUUCAUCAGCAAGAAUCAAUUUCUGUUGCUUUCAUCAUGAAUUUCUACGUCAUAACAUAGAAUUCUUUUAACAACUCCAAAUGUAUCAAGCCUAGCUGGAAUUGCAUCCAGAGUGGCCAAAAAAGAAUACAGCAAGUAGAUUUUAAAAUUAUUUUUUUCAAGUGCUAAUAGUUACCAGGCACUAUGCUAAAACUUGCCACACACCAACUCAUUUAAUCUUCACAAUAGCUUGAUGAGGAUAGUAUCGUCCCCUAUGAUGCCAAAGAGGAAACAGAAAUGGAGAUUAACUGACUUUUCCAAGAUGUUAGUGCUGUUGAUUUCCAGAGCCCUGUGACCCUGCAGAUCUAGGCUACCAGUAUUCUUGCUUAUGGCCGCUCAGAUUGUUUCAUAUUUCUGAUAAGUUUAAAGUAAUGUAGGAAUGAAUCAGCUCACAAGUUUUAUU
rnacentral:lncRNA from 1 species